rnacentral:rRNA from 1 species
UUUCCUUCGGGAUUGAUAUUUUGUGACUGAGUGGCGGACGGGUGAGUAACGCGUGGGUAACCUGCCUUGUACAGGGGGAUAACAGUUGGAAACGGCUGCUAAUACCGCAUAAGCGCACGGCAUCGCAUGAUGCAGUGUGAAAAACUCCGGUGGUAUGAGAUGGACCCGCGUCUGAUUAGGUAGUUGGUGAGGUAACGGCUCACCAAGCCGACGAUCAGUAGCCGACCUGAGAGGGUGACCGGCCACAUUGGGACUGAGACACGGCCCAAACUCC